AUUCAUCCUAAUGAUCAUUAUGACGAAUUCAUUAAUUUUAAUCUGUUGAUCGCGCACACCACUUUGUGCGUGUGUAAUUGAAGUUCAUAAAUUUAUUUAUACAAAUAAUCCGUGUAUAUAUAUAAGUAACGUGAUCAGAUUCUUAACAAAUAUUGUAUCAUGUCAAUCCGUUUUAUACAAAACAAGGAUUUAGUAUGGAAUUAAUUUACAUUUUAAAAAUUAACAGAACUAUUUUUUUAUACACUAUUUCCUUUUUCUAAUUUGUUGUUUAAUUCUUACAAUACGUUUAAUACUUUACGAAGAAAAUUAAUUAAAAAUUCUAAUGUUAUACGCAAUUCUAUAUACGCUUGCACAAAUGAAAAUAUCAAAUGAUAAUGCUCGCGCUUAAAAAUUCUCUUUGCCAUGUUGUACGAGAAUUUAUCUAAUUUUCGAAUCAUAUUAUAAAUAGAAUUAUUCCAAUUUUCAAAUCAUAUUGUAGGAAUAUCGUGUUAUAAGGGAUUUGUUUGUAUUCGGAAUAAAAUCUGUAGUGUACUUUAGUCAAUCCCCGUACUAAGAAAAUCGACAAUCGAAUGUUAAUUAGCUUCAAUAUCUAUAUUUGCAACGGUACGGCGAUUGCGUAUAAGUCGAGGGUGGAUGAGGAUGAUAUACACGAUAGUGGGGGAAAAUUUACUUAGGAAUCGAGCAACAAGAUCUUUCGAUGCUCCUUAGGAUCAUUUCUUCGUCAGCUCUCACCUGCUAAAGUGAAAACAACGAAAGGAAAGUGAAUUUGAUUUUAU